rnacentral:rRNA from 1 species
AACGAACGCUGGCGGCAGGCCUAACACAUGCAAGUCGAGCGAACCCUUCGGGGUUAGCGGCGGACGGGUGAGUAACGCGUGGGAAUAUGCCCUUUGCUACGGAAUAGCCCCGGGAAACUGGGAGUAAUACCGUAUGUGCCCUUCGGGGGAAAGAUUUAUCGGCAAAGGAUUAGCCCGCGUUGGAUUAGGUAGUUGGUGGGGUAAUGGCCUACCAAGCCUACGAUCCAUAGCUGGUUUGAGAGGAUGAUCAGCCACACUGGGACUGAGACACGGCCCAGACUCCUACGGGAGGCAGCAGUGGGGAAUCUUAGACAAUGGGGGCAACCCUGAUCUAGCCAUGCCGCGUGAUCGAUGAAGGCCUUAGGGUUGUAAAGAUCUUUCAGCUGGGAAGAUAAUGACGGUACCAGCAGAAGAAGCCCCGGCUAACUCCGUGCCAGCCGCCGCGGUAAAAC